UAAGCUGUGGUUUAAAGCAC
rnacentral:miRNA from 1 species